rnacentral:rRNA from 1 species
AACGAACGCUGGCGGCAGGCCUAACACAUGCAAGUCGAACGCCGUAGCAAUACGGAGUGGCAGACGGGUGAGUAACACGUGGGAACGUACCCUUUGGUUUGGAACAACUCCGGGAAACUGGAGUUAAUACCGGAUAAGCCCUAUGGGGGAAAGAUUUAUCGCCGAAGGAUCGGCCCGCGUCUGAUUAGCUUGUUGGUAGGGUAACGGCCUACCAAGGCGACGAUCAGUAGCUGGUCUGAGAGGAUGAUCAGCCACACUGGGACUGAGACACGGCCCAGACUCCUACGGGAGGCAGCAGUGGGGAAUAUUGGACAAUGGGCGCAAGCCUGAUCCAGCCAUGCCGCGUGAGUGAUGAAGGCCUUAGGGUUGUAAAGCUCUUUCGCGCGCGACGAUAAUGACGGUAGCGCGAGAAGAAGCCCCGGCUAACUUCGUGCCAGCAGCCGCAGUAAGAC